rnacentral:rRNA from 1 species
UUGAACGCUGGCGGCAUGCCUUACACAUGCAAGUCGAACGGUAGAGGGGCAACCCUUGAGAGUGGCGAACGGGUGAGUAAUAUAUCGGAACGUGCCCAGUCGUGGGGGAUAACGCAGCGAAAGCUGCGCUAAUACCGCAUACGAUCUAUGGAUGAAAGCGGGGGAUCGCAAAGACCUCGCGCGAUUGGAGCGGCCGAUAUCAGAUUAGGUAGUUGGUGGGGUAAAAGCCCACC